UACGUAGGAGGCAAGCGUUGUCCGGAAUCACUGGGCGUAAAGAGCGUGUAGGCGGUCUGUUGCGUCCGCUGUGAAAACCCGGGGCUUAACCCUGGGCUGGCAGUGGAUACGGACAGACUAGAGGUAGGUAGGGGAGAAUGGAAUUCCCGGUGUAGCGGUGAAAUGCGCAGAUAUCGGGAGGAACACCGGUGGCGAAGGCGGUUCUCUGGGCCUUACCUGACGCUGAGGAGCGAAAGCGUGGGGAGCGAACAGG
rnacentral:rRNA from 1 species